GAUGAACGCUGGCGGCGUGCCUAAUACAUGCAAGUCGAGCGAACGGACGAGAAGCUUGCUUCUCUGAUGUUAGCGGCGGACGGGUGAGUAACACGUGGAUAACCUACCUAUAAGACUGGGAUAACUUCGGGAAACCGUAGCUAAUACCGGAUAAUAUUUUGAACCGCAUGGUUCAAAAGUGAAAGACGGUCUUGCUGUCACUUAUAGAUGGAUCCGCGCUGCAUUAGCUAGUUGGUAAGGUAACGGCUUACCAAGGCAACGAUGCAUAGCCGACCUGAGAGGGUGAUCGGCCACACUGGAACUGAGACACGGUCCAGACUCCUACGGGAGGCAGCAGUAGGGAAUCUUCCGCAAUGGGCGAAAGCCUGACGGAGCAACGCCGCGGGAGUGAUGAAGGUCUUCGGAUCGUAAAACGCUGUUAUUAGGGAAGAACAUAUGUGUAAGUAACUGUGCACAUCUUGACGGUACCUAAUCAGAAAGCCACGGCUAACUACGU
rnacentral:rRNA from 1 species